CACGUGCACGCGGUGGCAGCUCCCGGAGAUCCACCAUCCGGGCACUGAGGAUACCCCGUUGGUCCAGCAUCCCAGGGAAGCCUGCGAAUACAAGGAUCACGGUCACGCGGUGGUGUCCUUUCUGGAGAACUGGGCAGUGAGAGCGGACACACAAGGACCCUCGGGGUCUUGGGGCAGGGUGGGUCCCUGAAUGCUGAAACCAACCAGCAGAGAAAAAAUGGGGAUCACAAGAAAAGCAGCAAGAGGAGGCUCUUGAACUAUCCAGGAAGAGUUUCCCUCCCUGCAGAAAGAACAGCUACCCUGCAAGCCUAGUCAUAGCAUAUUGAAACAACAAAAGGGAGCAGCACUAGCAGCGUCUGACAGAACUCAAGGCUCACAGAGAUGGUCCUGGUCAUGGCUGUCACUGUCCUCUGCCAUCAUGUAUGUCAGUGAAGUACCCCUGCCUUCUACUUAAACAAUAAAACAACAGACCCCACACUUGUCACGAUGCUGAGAGCUCUGUAUUCAGAACACUGAUACCUAACAGCACAGACAUAGAAGCGGGAUUUAUGAUGAAGCAGCGGGGUGGGGCUGUGGCAUCGCUCUCCAUGUAUGCAAGGUCCAGGGGCCGAGAGAGGCCAGGCCUGCCUGAGGUGCUUUUCUGUGUGUGGCCCCGACAUCAUCUGGGGUGGGUCUGAUGGGGAAUUAGUUCUGCUGGCCAGGAGGAUUGGAUAAUAAAGCUGUGCCUGAUGGAAACU
rnacentral:lncRNA from 1 species